GCAAGACAGUACUAAUAGAAGAAAAGAUGUUGGCUGAAAACAUGUUUUGAAAACAAGAUGUUAGAUGAUAAGAUAUGGCAAAAAAAGCAAAUGGAGAAUCCACAAACACAUAUAGGUUAACUCUACUCCAGCACACUGGGCCUGUGAGAAGCAGAUUGAGCUUGCACCUUCAAGGCCGUUGUGAUCAAUGGGAGAGCAGACAUGCAGACAAUGGAAGGUAAGGGGGCUGGUGUCACCUGAGGAUGAGGAGAAGGCUAAGCAGAGGCAGGAGAGAGCCUCUCUGAUUAGAGAGGCAGAGAUGGAAUCCGGGAGUCUGGCAUCAAGGGGAGCCUAGGGCAUGAACAUGAUGCUGUUCAGCUGUGUCUGUGUUCACAGAGGCACCAAGACGGGUACCAGGGUGUAGAUGCCAAGGACGGAGAACAUUUGAAGAAGGCAUGGACAGUUGGCAGAGGCAACUGAGGUGGCCAGAUUUCUGAUGGCAUCUCUUCAAGGUAUACAUCCAUGGCAGGGAUGAGUCAGCAUCCAGCCUUGCUGGACAUGGAAUCAGACCACAGAGCCUGGUCACGUAGUGCCAUGUAAGUGUCAGUGGGAAGCCUCUCUUACAGUAU
rnacentral:lncRNA from 1 species